ensembl:snoRNA SNORA70 Small nucleolar RNA SNORA70
CUGCAACCAAUUAAGCCGACCAGGUUCCUAUCCUGGUGGACCCUUGGUGUGCAAUGGCUGCAGACAGAAACCUCCUAGGUAGUGUAUGCAGCCUAUUCCUUGUAUGGGUUGCUCUAAGGGACCUAGGAGACAAAG